CAGUAGAUAGUUUAUAUUAAAAUAUUAAUUUUGGGGAUUAAUGAUGAGCAUGUUCUUUUUACUGA
rnacentral:tRNA from 1 species